rnacentral:tRNA from 1 species
GAUGAGGUGGCUGAGUUAUAGGCGAUAGAUUGUAAAUCUAUAAACGAGUUUAAACUUUCUUAUUA